UUUCUCUCUCUCUCUCUGUCUCUCCCCCACAAAAGAAAAUGACGUGAUACCCAGUUUCCAGCUGAUGCUCCGGUCACUGUUCGAAGUAUUUUUUUUAUCUUGCUUUUCCACUGCUUUUCCUUAAUUUUCUCCGGAAAAUCUAUCAAAGGGUCUUAGAAACAGCGUUGGUGAGACUCACUUUCCUAUUGGGUUUUCAGUGAGAUCAUUUCGCGGUGGUUUGUUGCUUGGUUGAUUUGAUCUUCGCGUUCUUUUUGUUUUUGGGUUUUCUUUCAUGUUAUUGUGACGACAAAAUAGACUUGCAUAUGGCAUAGAUAUCCAUUUUAUGUAAAUCAUAGUUUAUUGGGUCUUUAAAUGAUUUAAUCAAGGAAUGUAUAAGAACCAAUUGCAAGAGUUGGCUCAAAGAAGCUGCUUCAAUUUGCCAUCUUAUUCUUGUAUAAGGGAAGGACCUGAUCAUGCCCCUCGAUUCAAAGCUACUGUCAAUUUCAAUGGAGAGACUUUUGAAAGUCCUGCCUUUUGCUCUACUCUGAGGCAGGCAGAACAUGCGGCUGCUGAGGUAGCACUCACCACACUUGCAAGCAGAGGCCCUUCCAGAGCAUUAGCUGCUAGAGUUCUGGAUGAAACUGGAGUCUACAAGAAUUUGCUUCAAGAGACUGCUCACAGAGCUGGCUUAAAGCUUCCAGUGUAUACCACUGUACGUUCAGGACCAGGCCAUGUUCCUGUUUUCUCAUGCACAGUUGAACUUGCAGGAAUGAACUUUACUGGGGAGCCAGCUAGGACCAAGAAACAAGCUCAGAAGAAUGCAGCAAUGGCUGCAUGGUCUGCCCUAAAAAGAUGUAUGGAUCUCAUCUUUUUGUAAUAAUUUUUGUUCAGAGUGCUCUAGUGUGGUUAGAAUGAGGUUAACACUGCUGCAUCUGCUUUAAACUGGUUAACAAAUCAUUACAGUCACCCAUCUCCUUGAUUCAAUGAGCAUGAAUUUUUCCUUAAGCUGAUAACUGUUGAAGCCAUGGCUGUCAGCCCUACUUCUAUUGCUUCUUUCCUGAAUAGUCAAAAUCUUUGGUAGAUGAUUAAAAUGGCAGUUAUAGUUAGCAGAAAGUGGGGAAGCAACCUAUAGAAUUGUGCAACAAAAAUGUGUGUGCAUUUGUUGUGUGUGUGGGCUCGUUGUAGAGAGAGAUGCCAUAAAGCAGAUGUUCAGCAAUAUUUCAGGCAAGCUGACUUAAAAGUAGGAAGAUUUUCUGAGGUGGGUGGACACAUACUCCCAGUUCCCUCAUUCCACCAACCGUCUGAUAAAUUCCUCUGGAUGUUAUGUUUUCUUGCCAUUACUUAGAAUAGCUUCUUGGAAAUAUAUGUAUUUUUGCCCUUAUCAAUUUCUUUGUUUUCUCUGACAAUGCAUAAGUUGUUACUGAUUGAAAAUUGAUUUCUCUCUUCAAGGUCGGAUGUUGAUGUAAAAUGAGCCUUUGAGUAGGCAAGUUAUUGUGUAUAAGUGGGUACCAUUGUUCUACAUUUGUUUGUAAAGUGAAAAAAAAAUAAAAAUUAAAGGGCACAUAUAUAGGUGAUUUAAGUGAUGAAAAAUGAAAAUGCUCUUUUUCUUCUUCAGAGUUAUGUAACUUGUACCUUAUAAUUAUUUUUGUGGAAUUUUCCAUAUGUUAUCACUCACCUAAAUUUUCAUGGAAAAAUGUGUUGUAUGCACUUGCAGUCUUGCACGCUUCUUAAAAUUUUAUCAGUUGCUUAAUGUGAAGUUAUCUGAAUAUUAAUAUGUUUUUGUAGUGGUUCAACCUGGUUCAUCUUCCAGUUCAUCAUCUUCUUUAGUGGAGAAUAAAAAAGGAGGUGAAGAGCAAGAACAAGUUGUAAUUGCUCGUUUUCUUGCAUCUCUACAACCAUCAGAAUUAAAGAACUCGAAGCAAAGUGAUUGCCAUCCAGGACAGGAGAGAUUUAUCCCUGUAUGCAAGCACUUGACCCCUCCAACACCAAGCUUAUAUCCUAUGCAGUGCCAAAACUGGGUAUAUCCUGGCUUUUCCCAUGAAAUGGCCAUAUACCAAAUGUGGCAGCAAGAACAAUUGUUGCAAUUGCAAAACCGUUUAUUGACGCUUCAAGUUCCACCAGCUCCUCCUCCUGGUCCUCAAAUUCUUCCAUAUAUGCAGUCUAUACUCCCCCCAGAUUCUCCUCUAUUUGUUCCUGUGAGAGAGCAAGAACGGGUACCUGUAGGGCCGAGAAUUACAAUUGCCACAUCAGGACCAUUAUUAUGCUGCUCAGAUAGUGUGGCCUCUGAUCCAAUCAGGGGAAAAUCUACAGUUACCAUUCAGGAGAUGCAUGACGAGAAGACUGAAGAAUUAUCUGAGUGCUCUCCAUCACUGGCUCCAGAUCCCCCUGUUCUCAGCAAAUUCAAGACUGAAGCAAGAUUUAAGGAAACAAAUCAUGAGCAUGACAAACUGAAAAAUGGUGCAAUGGAAAGCAAAGUUGAAAAUGCUCAACUAGGAGAGAACCAUUCUGAGCAAUUUGAACAGGCUUCCCACAGAAGCAUGGAUUCAGGAUACACACAUGUAGGCUUCAGAGUGCAGAACCUAUGUGGUUUUGACUCCACCAAUUCAACUUCACAGUAUCCUCUAAGACUAAGUUGUAGACCACCUCCAUCUGUAGCACCUCCUGUAACAAUCAGAAAUAUGGAGCCUAGACCAUCUGCAGCACCUCCUGUAAGAAUCAGAAAUAUGGGACCGGUUUGUUCAGUUCCCAAACCACAAGAUUUGGCAGCACAAGUUCCAGCUCAACCAAGAAUGAGAACCGGAGGUCCUUCGUAUUCAGCCAGACCACAGCCUCAAAGAAUGGACUUUGGCAGAGUGCAUCCCCGUUCCAUGGCACCAGCAGUUCGAAUAAGAUCAGUUGUACCUGUCUGUUCAGCUCCACCAGCAAGGAAAAUGCCAACCACUGGGCAAGAGGGAGCAUCAACUAGCAAAGAGAAGAAAGAUACGGUACCUGAAGAUGUCUCGACAACAAGUUCAGAACUAGGCAAGCUUGGAACAUGAGCGGAUUACAGACACUACAAUUCAUCUUAUUUUUCUUUUAGUGGUUAGUUUUGCAAUUGAAUUUAUGGUGGUGUUUGGGCACCCAGUGGCAUGUAAUCAGUAUAAAUGGGGAGCAGCUAUAGAUAUUUAUAUAUAAAUAUAUACUUGAAAGUCAUAUUCUUUAAACUUAAUCAGGAUUGAUUCUCCUCAGUUGAUUAUAGUAUGUUUAUAUUUAAAGAUAUUUGAUCAGGUUAUUCCAGGAAAGGAUCGAAUAUCAAUUAUUCUAAAACAUGAAAUCAACAAAGAUGCAAUUUUUGGUAUUACAUUCCCUUUCUCUACUGUUUU
rnacentral:misc_RNA from 1 species